rnacentral:rRNA from 1 species
GAAAAGGAGUUUAGCGGCGCUACCGAUUAUAUGGCCUUGGGAUCGCAAGGAGAAUGGAGUAUGGGUAUGCGAGUCUUAAGUAUCUUUAAGGUAUCUUUAAGAAUGCCUAUGAAGAGCCCUAGAUUGUGCCUCGGCGCGGGGCGGGGGGCGCGGGAAGCGGCGGGCGGCGCCCAUCUCGGCCUCGGCGGGGCCGGGGGCGCGGGAAGCGGCGGGCGACGACCUCGGCGGGGGCGGGCGUCGACCCCGGCGGCGUCCAGCGCGGCGGCGACGUCCAGCGCAGCCUCGACGGGGUGUCGAGCUCGGCGGUGUCCGACGCAGCCUCGGCCGGGCGGCGACCUCGGUGACGACCUUGGCGGGCGGCGCCCUCGGCGCUCGGCGACCAGCGGUAACCUGAAAAGGUGUGGAGGUGCUCGUUCGCUGGGUGCGCGUGUAGUGAGAGGCGACGUGAUCACUCCUUCACUACCACGUGCUCCUGCUCGAAGGACCUGUUCUUCUAGAGGCAUGAGAAGAGCCACUACGUUUCAACUCGACGUCUAGCAGAUAUAGCUAAGACCUCUGGCUAAGAACCACGACGACGUCUAGCAGAUGUAACUAAGACCUGCAGCUAAGAAGUAAAUGGGAAGAAUAAUGGUAAACGAUUGAAUUGGUGGAGAGAGAGAGUACAACCAAGACUUCUAGAAAAUACACAGUACAGCUGUUCCCGCAAACUAUUCUCUAGGUUCGUCCGACGUACACUCCACUUAGUUCCUUCAACCAUCUUAUACGUCGGAACUAUCGUCUCCAAACACUUAGAAUACGGUCCAAACAACGGAGGUACAAUUUGUGACUUCUUUACCCCAAAGUCUAGUCGUUCCUCCCACUCACCUAAUCAGCGGCUAAUCACGGAAGUGACAACAACUUAUUUGACCGAAGUCGAGACUACGUACACUUGACACUCCACAAAAACCAUACCCUUACUACUCCAAGACUACCAGAUAUGGACUAACGUUCCAAACCCAUACUUAAUUUAAACGCAGGUUUGAACCGUUAAUAGAAGAUACUUAAAUCCGUAACAAGUGUACAGUAAACUCAGUUUGUCUUUAUACGAAGACUUUACGAGGUUAAACGACGAAAAGUGUAAAACUCUUCCAACAAAUAAAGCAUAAGUAGCCCAAUACGAUUUCGUCUUCCGUAACACGACUGUAAAAAAUUCGGAAUGAACUAAAACUAUACACCAAUCGGCAAACGGGAACGUGGUUUUUGUUUGUGAUAAGGAUACAGAAUGAAUCUUCGUUUCCACGUAAUUAAUAAUUGACCAACUAUAUACAAGGUACCACCCACCGUAUCUUUUGUUUCGAAGAAAGAUUCUGUACUACAAGACAAUGAUCGUUUUUUCACAAUCUUAAAUAUUCAUGAAUAAGUUUCUUUUAUUUUUGACUGACCUCUUGACAAACAAAGAUGGUAAGGAAAGUUCAAUUCCGUUUUUAGUAUAACCGUACAUCGAACACGAGGACGUCUCAAGAAAAACAAAACUAAAAGAUAUUACAAUUUCCGUAUAUCUUAUUACUUUAACGUUAUCAAUACUAGGGAUCCGGGCUGUUUUUUGACUGCUCUCAUAAUCCGCCACCGUCCAUAGUCCGAUGUCGUCAACUUAACGUUCAGAAGACUACUCGAAAACGUCGUUCCACCUCGUUGGAAUGUCACGUUUCUACUUCUUCCCCGUUAAGGAGAAGUACCACGAACACGAACCCCCAUACGUAAUAAAUAAACGUAACUCGAAUAUGAAGGAACGGGGUUCCUCUUCCAAAGUACGGGGUUCUUCAUCUUAUGCAUGUCUGUCCGUGGGUAGCCCUACCUGCUAGUUCUUUGGUUUCAGAUCCGGGACUAUUGAUGAGGGAGGCAAGGUUUUAUCUACUGGGUUGAAAUAUGAUUGAAACCUUACCUCCCUCAUGUUUCGUUCAGCUACGGUCGUAUGUAUACUGUUUUACUACCCGGACAGUCUCGCUUGGGAACCAACUUUAAACAGUUUUCUGACCCGCCAUUUGACUCACCAUCAGAAUCAUAGGAUUAUGUGUUGAACGGAUGAUACAAAAAAAAAAUUGUUGUCUCUCGCGGUCUCCGCGGUCUAAAGUAAGUCGAGUUGUUGUAUUAUGUCGUAAAUAAUGUUACGGGACGUCAUCACAUCGUCUGACUUCUCGUUCGUUUUGUCCUAUUGUCAAACUCCUUACUCGACUAAAUCUCGUAUGUAUCUAUCUAACCAGUUCCGCAGCGAAAGUUGAUACCUCAACACACGUUUCUUUCCUGUAUUACAAAGAGUUUAACGGGAAACAUAGAGAUACAAAACGUGAAAUAGUUUCCGCGUUAGUCAACUCGAGAGUUCGUUCAAAAAGGUCGUACUAAAGUGAAUACC